UAGGGAAUAUUGGGCAAUGGACGGAAGUCUGACCCAGCCAUGCCGCGUGCAGGAAGAAGGUCCUCUGGAUUGUAAACUGCUUUAGACGGGGAAGAAUAAGGAUCAUGCGUGAUCUGAUGACGGUACCCGUAGAAUAAGCACCGGCUAACUACGUGCCAGCAGCCGCGGUAAUACGUAGGGUGCGAGCGUUGUCCGGAUUUAUUGGGUUUAAAGGGUGCGUAGGCGGGAGAGUAAGUUCGCUUUUAAAGCCGGCCGCUUAACGGUCAGGUAGGGGGACGGAUACUGCUUUUCUUGAGAGGGCUCGGGGCUGGCGGAAUUUGUGGUGUAGCGGUGAAAUGCAUAGAUACCACAAGGAACACCGAUCGCGUAGGCAGCCAGCCAGGGCCUUUCUGACGCUGAGGCACGAAAGUGCGGGGAGCAAACAGGAUUAGAUACCCUGGUAGUCCGCACUGUAAACGAUGCAUACUCGGUGUCGGCUCGUUAGAGCCGGUGCCUGAGGGAAACCGAUAAGUAUGCCACCUGGGGAGUACGCCGGCAACGGUGAAACUCAAAUGAAUUGACGGGGUCAUAGCUG
rnacentral:rRNA from 1 species